rnacentral:ncRNA from 2 species
CAACCCUAGGAGAGGAUGCCAUUCACAUAGACUAUAAUUGAAUGGCGCCACUAGGGUUGUG